UACGGGGGGGGCAAGCGUUGUUCGGAAUUAUUGGGCGUAAAGAGCUCGUAGGCGGUUUGUCGCGUCUGCCGUGAAAGUCCGGGGCUCAACUCCGGAUCUGCGGUGGGUACGGGCAGACUAGAGUGAUGUAGGGGAGACUGGGAUUCCUGGUGUAGCGGUGAAAUGCGCAGAUAUCAGGAGGAACACCGAUGGCGAAGGCAGGUCUCUGGGCAUUAACUGACGCUGAGGAGCGAAAGCAUGGGGAGCGAACAGG
rnacentral:rRNA from 1 species